rnacentral:rRNA from 1 species
ACUCCUGCGGGAGGCAGCAGUGAGGAAUAUUGGACAAUGGGUGGAAGCCUGAUCCAGCCAUCCCGCGUGCAGGAAGACGGCCCUAUGGGUUGUAAACUGCUUUUAUCUGGGGAUAAACCUACUUACGUGUAAGUAGCUGAAGUUACCAGAAGAAUAAGCACCGGCUAACUCCGUGCCAGCAGCCGCGGUAAUACGGAGGGUGCAAGCGUUAUCCGGAUUUAUUGGGUUUAAAGGGUCCGUAGGCGGACUGAUAAGUCAGUGGUGAAAUCCGACAGCUUAACUGUCGAACUGCCAUUGAUACUGUUAGUCUUGAGUAAGGUUGAAGUGGCUGGAAUAAGUAGUGUAGCGGUGAAAUGCAUAGAUAUUACUUAGAACACCAAUUGCGAAGGCAGGUCACUAAGUCUUAACUGACGCUGAUGGACGAAAGCGUGGGGAGCGAACAGGAUUAGAAACCCCAGUAGUCCCAUGA